rnacentral:rRNA from 1 species
CGUAUAAAAUUUAAUAAUUAGUUUAAUUGUAAAAUUAAAUUAUAAUGAAAACUUAGGUGAAAGUUAUAUUAAAGUUCAAAUAUAGGUAUAUAUAUAUAUAUAACAUUGGGUAAUAUUGGAUUUAUAUGACGUGGAACUAGACUAAAAAUUUUUAAAUAACCGUAACUAAUAUUAAAAAGUUAUAAUAGGGUUGCUGCUAUAUGUUUAUUUUAAAUCCUUUCUAUACUACACCUAACAGUUAAUUUAUUGUCCAAGGAGGUUAAUAAAUUUUAUGGCGGUUUAAGAAAUCCAAAGCCUCUAAAGAAAUGAUGGAUUAAAAUAUUUAAAAU